rnacentral:rRNA from 1 species
UUUCCGGUUGAUCCCGACUGGACCCUAUUGCUAUCGGGGUAAGACUAAGCCAUGCGAGUUGUGCACUCCCUAGCUAUGUUGGGAGAGCAGCGAACGGCUCAGUAACACGUAGUCAAUCUUCCCUCAGGACAGAUAUAACCCUGGGAAACUGGGGCUAAUAUCCGAUAGAUGGAUGCGCCUGGAAUGGUCUUCCAUUAAAAAGUUCCUUGAAACAUGCUUCAAAGAACGCCUGAGGAUGGGACUGCGGCCGAUCAGGCAGUUGGUGGGGUAACGGCCCACCAAACCUAUAACCGGUACGGGCCCUGAAAGGGGGAGCCCGGAGAUGGGAACUGAGACAAGGUCCAGGCCCUACGGGGCGCAGCAGGCGCGAAAACUCCACAAUGCGCGAAAGCGUGAUGGGGUUACCCCGAGUGCCGUCCGAUGAGGAUGGCUUUUCUCCAGUGUAAGGAGCUGGUGGAAUAAAGGGGGGGCAAGACUGGUGUCAGCCGCCGCGGUAAUACCAGCCCCCUGAGUGAUAGGGACGAUUAUUUAGCCUAAAGCGUCCGUAGCCGGCUUAGUAAGUCUUUCGUUAAAUCUGACAACUUAAUUGCCAGGCCGCGAAAGAUACUGCUAGGCUAGAGGGCGGAAGAGGUUGACGGUAGUCCCGGAGUAGGGGUGAAAUCCUAUAAUUCCGGGAGGACCACCAGUGGCGAAGGCGGUCAACCAGAACGCGCCUGACGGUGAUGGACGAAAGCUGGGGGAGCAAACCGGAUUAGACACCCGGGUAGUCCCAGCUGUAAACGAUGCGGGCUAGGUGUUGGGGUAGCUACGGGCUGCUCCAGUGCCGCAGAGAAGUUGUUAAGCCCGCCGCUUGGGAAGUACGGUCGCAAGGCUGAAACUUAAAGGAAUUGGCGGGGGAGCACCACAAGGGGUGAAGCCUGCGGUUCAAUUGGAGUCAACGCCGGG